GUCCUCGUAGCGCAGUGGAUAGCGCGCUGGACUUCUAAUCCAGAGGUCGCGGGUUCGAAUCCAGCCUGGAUG
rnacentral:tRNA from 1 species